rnacentral:rRNA from 1 species
GACGAACGCUGGCGGCGUGCUUAACACAUGCAAGUCGAACGAAGAGCGAUGGAAGCUUGCUUCUAUCAAUCUUAGUGGCGAACGGGUGAGUAACGCGUAAUCAACCUGCCCUUCAGAGGGGGACAACAGUUGGAAACGACUGCUAAUACCGCAUACGAUCCAAUCUCGGCAUCGAGACUGGAUGAAAGGUGGCCUCUAUUUAUAAGCUAUCACUGAAGGAGGGGAUUGCGUCUGAUUAGCUAGUUGGAGGGGUAACGGCCCACCAAGGCGAUGAUCAGUAGCCGGUCUGAGAGGAUGAACGGCCACAUUGGGACUGAGACACGGCCCAGACUCCUACGGGAGGCAGCAGUGGGGAAUCUUCCGCAAUGGACGAAAGUCUGACGGAGCAACGCCGCGUGAGUGAUGACGGCCUUCGGGUUGUAAAGCUCUGUUAAUCGGGACGAAUGGUUCUUGUGCGAAUAGUGCGAGG